rnacentral:rRNA from 1 species
CAGCAUGUCCCGCAGCAAUGCGGGAUGAUGGCGACCGGCAAACGGGUGCGGAACACGUACACAACCUUCCUUUUAGUGGGGAAUAGCCCGGGGAAACCCGGAUUAAUACCCCGUAACAUAAUGAAGUGGCAUCACUUUAUUAUUAUAGCAGCAAUGCGCUUUAAGAUGGGUGUGCGACUGAUUAGGCAGUUGGCGGGGUAACGGCCCACCAAACCUACGAUCAGUAACUGGUGUGAGAGCACGACCAGUCACACGGGCACUGAGACACGGGCCCGACUCCUACGGGAGGCAGCAGUAAGGAAUAUUGGUCAAUGGACGCAAGUCUGAACCAGCCAUGCCGCGUGGAGGAUGAAGGUCCUCUGGAUUGUAAACUUCUUUUAUCUGGGAAGAAAUCCACGAAUUCUUUUGUGGUUGACGGUACCAGAUGAAUAAGCACCGGCUAACUCCGUGCCAGCAGCCGCGGUAAUACGGAGGGUGCAAGCGUUAUCCGGAUUCACUGGGUUUAAAGGGUGCGUAGGUGGGCAGGUAAGUCAGUGGUGAAAUCUCCGGGCUUAACUCGGAAACUGCCAUUGAUACUAUCUGUCUUGAAUACCGUGGAGGUUAGCGGAAUAUGUCAUGUAGCGGUGAAAUGCUUAGAUAUGACAUAGAACACCAAUUGCGAAGGCAGCUGGCUACACGAAUAUUGACACUGAUGCACGAAAGCGUGGGGAUCAAACAGGAUUAGAUACCCUGGUAGUCCACGCCCUAAACGAUGGAUACUCGACAUACGCGAUAUACUGUGUGUGUCUGAGCG